UGGGUUUCUGUACAGCACUUUGAGAUAUCAGCUGAUGUAAGAAGGGCUAUAUAAAUACAUUUGAUUUGAUUUAAAAGAAACUGGUUUAUCCUGUCACCAAAAACGGUGUCUUGACACACGUAAUCCGCAAAUUGCCAUUCCCAUACCGCUUUUAGGACGAGAAGAUCCAAGGUGCAGACUACUUUGGCCACAAAUAUGUUGCUGGUCAGUGCAUGAAGGUCCUGCGUGAAGUCUUCAAGGAGCAGGAGUUCCUAGAGAAAGUGAAGUACUUUGUGAUGUGGUAGAGCAGACAUGUGGUCUCAGAUGUCAUAAGUCUUUGUGAAGACUAGAGGCAAUGGGAGGCCUAUGACAUCAUCGCUGAAGAUGUCCAAGGAAAAGUGUUCUUUGCUGGGGAGGAAACCAACAGAAACAUUCCUAUUUGAGUGGUGUCCGCGAGGCAAGUAAAAUCGCCUUACCUGUGAGCAAUCAGUCACACAAUACCAGCAUGACUACAUCUCAGUCGUACAGAGCAACGCUUCAGUUCCUUACUCAACUGAGUCACUACGCUUUUAAGUGGUGUUUACAACCAGUGUGUACUGUACCUCAUGUGUGAGCAGAGAUGACCAAUGCUGUUUGUAAUGCGGCAAUGUUAUGGACAUUGAAUCAAUGUGGAAAACUGAUUGGAUUUGCACAAAUUAACACAAGGGAAUUUCAUAAUUUUCUUACCCAGCUUUUAACCUAAAUGUAAUGACAUUACGAAAUGUUUUGUUGAUUUCACGUUAGUUGACAACUAGACAUGGAACUGACGUCUGUGCCCAGUGGGACACCUCGUGUUGGUUUAGUUGGAGAUCACUGUAAUAAGAAAUUAAGAUUAGAAGCAUACUUGCGCUGCCAAACAAUUAAUUUUGAUGUACAAAUGGACAUACAGUAUUUCUGUUAUAUGUGGAUUGUUUGUCAAUAACUAUUUAGUGAGGUGCAUGCCAAUGUCGUGCACACAUCAUCAAUAGCUUUCAAAGUUCCAAUGUGUUGGUACAAUGAGCGCUUAACUGUUAAGUAAUAAAAGUUGACAACUUAAAUGGAUAAAUAAGUACUUUUGCAGUAGCACUUGUGUUUUAUAAUGAUGAAUUAAUGAAUUAUAAUUUCUGUUUUCAGAACAAAACUGGGCCUGAAUAUACUUUAAAUGACCAAGAUAGAACUGCCAAAGGGGAAUGCGUUGCAAUCUACUGCAGAGAUAGCCUGCAAAGUUCUGUCAUACUUU